UACGGAGGGGGCUAGCGUUGUUCGGAAUUAUUGGGCGUAAAGCGCGUGUAGGCGGCAGUGCAAGUCGGGUGUGAAAGCCCUCAGCUCAACUGAGGAAGUGCGCCCGAAACUGCAUUGCUUGAGUACCGGAGAGGAUGGUGGAAUUCCCGAAGUAGAGGUGAAAUUCGUAGAUAUCGGGAGGAACACCGGUGGCGAAGGCGACCAUCUGGACGGAUACUGACGCUGAGACGCGAAAGCGUGGGUAGCAAACAGG
rnacentral:rRNA from 1 species